CCGAGACAACUGAAAGUCAGCUACAGCAAAAAGUGGUCUUACGCAGGUUCGAAUCCUGCCCUGCGGA
rnacentral:tRNA from 1 species